rnacentral:rRNA from 1 species
GACGAACCGUCCAAACGUUAUUCGGAAUUACUGGGCUUAAAGGGUGCGUAGGCGGCUUCGCAAGUUGGGUGUGAAAUCCCUCGGCUCAACCGAGGAAUGGCGCCCAAAACUGCGGAGCUCGAGGGAGACAGAGGUGAGUGGAACUUGUGGUGGAGCGGUGAAAUGCGUUGAUAUCACAAGGAACACCGGUGGCGAAAGCGGCUCACUGGGUCUUUUCUGACGCUGAGGCACGAAAGCUGGG